rnacentral:rRNA from 1 species
ACUCCUACGGGAGGCAGCAGUAGGGAAUUUUCCGCAAUGGACGAAAGUCUGACGGAGCAAUGCCGCGUGAGUGAUGAAGGUUUUCGAAUCGUAAAGCUCUGUUGUAAGGGAAGAAUAGCAAGAUAGGUAAAAUGAUUCUUGUCUGACUGGAUACCCUUACCAGAAAGCCCACGGGCUAACUACGUGCCAGCAGCCGCGGUAAUACGUAGGUGGCAAGCGUUAUCCGGAAUUAUU